rnacentral:rRNA from 1 species
UACGGGGGGGGUAAGCGUUGUUCGGAAUUACUGGGCGUAAAGGGCUCGUAGGCGGCCAACUAAGUCGGACGUGAAAUCCCUCAGCUUAACUGGGGAACUGCGUCUGAUACUGGAUGGCUUGGAUUUGGGAGAGGGAUGCGGAAUUCCAGGUGUAGCGGUGAAAUGCGUAGAUAUCUGGAGGAACACCGGUGGCGAAGGCGGCAUCCUGGACCAACACUGACACUGAGGAGCGAAAGCCAGGGGAGCAAACGGG